rnacentral:rRNA from 1 species
UACGGAGGGUGCAAGCGUUGCUCGGAAUCACUGGGCGUAAAGGGCUCGUAGGCGGCCAACUAAGUCAGACGUGAAAUCCCUCAGCUUAACUGGGGAACUGCGUCUGAUACUGGAUGGCUUGGAUUCGGGAGAGGAAUGCGGAAUUCCAGGUGUAGCGGUGAAAUGCGUAGAUAUCUGGAGGAACACCGGUGGCGAAGGCGGCAUUCUGGACCGACAUUGACGCUGAGGAGCGAAAGCCAGGGGAGCAAACGGG